CUACGGGACGCAGCAGGCGCGAAAACUUUACAAUGCAGGAAACUGUGAUAAGGGAACCCCGAGUGCCCGUAAACGCGGGCUGUCCCUGUGUUUAAAACACAUCGGAAGAAAGGGCCGGGCAAGACCGGUGCCAGCCGCCGCGGUAAUACCGGCGGCUCGAGUGGUGACCACUUUUAUUGGGCUUAAAGCGUUCGUAGCUUGAUUUUUAAGUCUCUUGGGAAAUCUCACGGCUUAACUGUGAGGCGUCUAAGAGAUACUGGGAAUCUAGGGACCGGGAGAGGUAAGAGGUACUUCAGGGGUAGAAGUGAAAUUCUGUAAUCCUUGAGGGACCACCGAUGGCGAAGGCAUCUCACCAGAACGGCUUCGACAGUGAGGAACGAAAGCUGGGGGAGCGAACGGGAUUAGAUACCCCGGUAGUCCCAGCCGUAAACUAUGCGCGUUAGGUGUGCCUGUAACUACGAGUUACCGGGGUGCCGAAGUGAAAACGUGAAACGUGCCGCCUGGGGAAGUACGGUCGCAAGGGCUGAAGCUUAAAGGAAUUGGCGGGGGAGCACCACAACGGGUGGAGCCUGCGGUUUAAUUGGACUCAACGCCGGGCAGCUCACCGGAUAGGACAGCGGAAUGAUAGCCGGGCUGAAGACCUUGCUUGACCAGCUGAGAGGAGGUGCAUGGCCGUCGUCAGUUCGUACUGUGAAGCAUCCUGUUUAGUCAGGCAACGAGCGAGACCCACGCCAACAGUUGCUAGCAUGUUCUCCGGAAUGAUGAGGACACUGUUGGGACCGCCUCUGCUAAAGAGGAGGAAGGAAUGGGCAACGGUAGGUCAGCAUGCCCCGAAUUAUCCGGGCUACACGCGGGCUACAAUGGUCAGGACAAUGGGAAACGGCACUGAAAAGUGUAGUCAAUCUCCUAAACCUGUCCCAAGUUCGGAUUGUGGGCUGCAACUCGCCCACAUGAAGCUGGAAUCCGUAGUAAUCGCGUUUCAAAAUAGCGCGGUGAAUAAGUCCCUGCUCCUUGCACACACCG
rnacentral:rRNA from 1 species